rnacentral:lncRNA from 10 species
GUAGCGCGCCACCCCAGUCCCGCGGCGGGGCGGGGCGCUCCCCAAUCCCGCCCAGCUGCGCCCCCGGCCGGCCAACGCUGCGCCCCGCCCCCUACCGGGACCUAGGCGCUGAUUGGCCCCUGAGAGACCCUUUGCGCCCAGGCAUUGGUCCAGUGGCCGCCUGUCGACGAGGGGGCGGGACUCCGAGGGGUAGCGAUUCCCGUAACGCGGCUCUUCGCGUCCCGGAUUCCGGUGGCUGCGUCCGCGUCGCCUCUCCCAGACUAGAUCGAAGGGUUCCCCCCACCUCCCCUCUGUGGGCGGAAAGAGCGGAAUGUUCCAUUUUUCUGUGGAAUAACGGGGUCAUGAACUGGAGCCCGGGUGCUGCCCGCCGCCCGCUGCCCCCGCCCUCCCUUCUCGCCAGGGCGCCUGCGGCCUCUCUUCGCGGCCUUCCCCGAGGGACUCAGAGCCGCGAGGGACCGCCUAGCUCCCUUGGGGAUGGGGAAGGCGUGGGAGCCUCUUGGGGAAAGUGAAGAGCUCGGUGGCCGUGACUCCGCACGAGACUGCGGCAGAUUGUGGCGGCGGCUUCUCUCCAAGACUUACGAUUUACGGAAUGGCCAUCUUCCAUAAUUAACAAAUAAAUAAAUGAAAUUUAAUGUCAGGGUCAAAUGAAACUGGAAACAAAGCUUAUCUGGUGAUAUAUCAAAUUAUGAGAGUCAUUAUUUGGAUGUAAGGAUAUAUGACAGAUAGACUCUUAGGAGAAAUGCUAUGACCUCCUGCUUCUUGGUAUUCCUUGUGUGAUUUCCUCCUCUUGAGUGUGAAGGCAUGUAUGUCAUUGAGUUAUAUAAGAUAGUGCCCAUCUUGCUAGUGUCUCUCUCUCUCUUGUGGCUCUGAAAAAUCAAGCUGCCUGCCAUGUUUGAGCUUUGAUAUGGAAAGACCCACAUGUUAAGGAACUGAGGGCAGACUCUGCCAACAGCUAGCUUUGAAACUGAAUCUCCCGGCCAGGCACAGUGGCUCAUGCCUUUAAUCCCAGCACUUUGGGAGGCCAAGGUGGGUGGAUCACAAGGUCAGGAGUUCAAGACCAGCCUGGCCAAGAUGGUGAAACCCCAUCUCUACUAAAAAUACAAAAAUUAGCUGGGUGUGGUGGCAGGCACCUGUAAUCCCAGCUACCCAGGAGGCUGAGGGAGAGAAUUUCUUGAACCCAGGAGGCAGAGGUUGCAGUGAGCUGAGAUCACGCCACUGCACUCCAGCCUGGGUGGCAGAGCGAGACUCCAUCUCAAAAAAAAAAAAAAAAGAGAGAAAGAAACCAAAUCUCUCAGUCCUACAACCUCAAGGAACUGAAUUUUGCCAACAAAAGCAGAUCCUUCCCCAGUCAAGCCUCAGAUGAGACAGCAUCCUCAGCUAACAACUUGUUUGCAGCCUCAUGAGAACUGAAGCAGAGAACCCAGCUAAACUGUGCCUAGACUCCUGACCACAGAAACUGAGAUAAUAAAUGUGUGUUGUUUUAAGCUGCCAAGUAUGUGAUAAUUUGUUAUGUAGUGGAGAACUAAUACAACAGGGAAAAGUUAAAAGCUAUUCACAUAAAUAUUUAUAAUGGAUACUAUUUCUACACAUUUAAAUCAAGCUUCUCUUACGUUCAUAAGAAGAUACGAAUCUGGAGAAGGAAAUUAUAUCAAGCAGAACGCUGCUCUGGUGUUGUGAAGACGGGAUCCCACCAUUCUAAUGUAUUCAAUUUAUUUAUUCAAUAAGUUUUGAGCAUCAACUAUGUUCCAGGCACUGAGAUAUUAAUCUAAGGAAGACACACGUGUUGUCCUCAUUGAGGAGCUCAAAAGUCUAAUACAUAAACCAACAAUCAUACAAAAAUCAUAGCCAUGUUACAGUGCUAUGAGGAAGAUGUUAAGAGAAUAUUCUGGAAGUACUCAUACAUAAAUACUUCAGAAACUGGGCAUUAUAAGAAGUCAGUUGCCUCUCUCUACUUUCAGUUCUACAUUUUUAUACCUUGUAGUGGAUUUAAAAUGGCCACAAAUUCUUCAAUACUCUUCUAUGGAGAGAUUUGAGGGCUAUUUCCCUUCAUCUUGAAUUUAGGCAGGCUUGUUCAGGGUCUGGCUUUUAAGAGGAGCUUUCACCUUGGUCUGUGGAAGUCCUGAGUCACUGUGUACAAAGUCCAUCUACCUUAUUACACCAUCUGGAGAGAGCUGAGACUACAGGGAGAGGGGGAGUGGCCCGGCUGAUCCCAGUCUUCCUAGUGACCCUGCCCAGGAACUUGGCAUGUGAGUAAAGCCAUCUUGGAACCUCCAUACCAGACCAGCCACGAGAUGAAUAAUACUAACUGAUCCCAGUCAAUGCCACAUAGAGCAGAAGAACUGCCUAACUGAAUUCUUUCCAAACUGCUGACUCAAAAAUUUGUAUGGUAUAAUAAAAUGUUUGUUUUAAGUCACUGUUUUGUUAGGAGUAAUAAGCAACCAGAAUAAAAUUCUAAUCUUUAUCAUGUACCGUGCUGAAAAUCUGACCAUCUCACUCUCCUUAAAACUCCGUCAAUCCCUUCCCAUUACCCAAAUC